GAUGAACGCUGGCGGCGUGCCUAAUACAUGCAAGUCGAGCGAACAGACGAGGAGCUUGCUCCUCUGACGUUAGCGGCGGACGGGUGAGUACACGUGGGUAACCUACCUAUAAGACUGGGAUAACUUCGGGAAACCGGAGCUAAUACCGGGUAAUAUAUUGAACCGCAUGGGUCAAUAGUGAAAGACGGGUUUGCUGUCACUUAUAGAUGGAUCCGCGCCGCAUUAGCUAGUUGGUAAGGUAACGGCUUACCAAGGCAACGAUGCGUAGCCGACCUGAGAGGGUGAUCGGCCACACUGGAACUGAGACACGGUCCAGACUCCUACGGGAGGCAGCAGUAGGGAAUCUUCCGCAAUGGGCGAAAGCCUGACGGAGCAACGCCGCGUGAGUGAUGAAGGUCUUCGGAUCGUAAAACUCUGUUAUUAGGGAAGAACAAAUGUGUAAGUAACUAUGCACGUCUUGACGGUACCUAAUCAGAAAGCCACGGCUAACUACGUG
rnacentral:rRNA from 1 species